UAUUUAUAUACUGUUAUCCAUAAAAAAAAAUAACUUUGUGGCAAUUACAUGAUGGAAGGACAUAAUACCAAGGAAAAACUUUGUCAGUUACCUCUACCUAUUAAAAUAUAAUGAUAGGUUUUUUUCAAGUUUUGUAAUUACAAGUUUUGUAAAACUUGUGUGAAUAAUACAUGAUAUUUAUUUGUUUAAAAUAUAAUGAUGUAGGAAUCAAUUUUUUAUAUGUGAUUUUCUUUCUUGGUAAUCAAAAAGUUAACUUGCAUGUUUGAUUGUUUUGGAGAUUUUUUGUCUUAAUGAGUGAUUCACCUUUGUUUAGAACCCUCCCAAGCUGGCUACUCCUCUAUUUGAUACUGAAAUGGCAGAGGACCCUAAGAUGACAUACAUAGACCUAGAUAAUCUUCAAAUUGUGUUUUGAACGAAGAGUGUUUGGUCUUGCAUUGUGAUGGCGUCUGAGUGUUGACUUGGUCUCUGUUGGCUUGCUACAUAUCUAGAAAGCUCCAUGAUUUGUGCUAAGCUGAAGCGUAUCCAAUUUGGAUUUUCCAGCUCAAAAUAUCAAUAGAUUUGUUGUGGUAGUGCCUUAACAGGAUUUGAGACUUCUCCAUUCAGGAAAAGACAAGUCCGGUAGAUACAAAAAUUACAAGAUUGCAAGUUUGGAUUGAAGGUCACAAGAAAAAAAAUGGGGAGCCUAGUACUCAAGCUAUUGGAGAGA